CCUACGGGUGGCAGCAGUAGGGAAUCUUCCACAAUGGACGAAAGUCUGAUGGAGCAACGCCGCGUGAGUGAAGAAGGGUUUCGGCUCGUAAAGCUCUGUUGGUAGUGAAGAAAGAUAGAGGUAGUAACUGGCCUUUAUUUGACGGUAAUUACUUAGAAAUUAAGGGUUAACUACUUCCAAGCGGCAGCGGUAAUACGUAGGUGGCAAGCGUUGUCCGGAUUUAUGGGGGGUAAGGCGAGUGAAGGCGGUUCAAUAAGUCUGAUGUGAAAGCCUUCGGCUCAACCGGAGAAUUGCAGCAGAAUCUGUUGAACUUGAGUGCAGAAGAGGAGAGUGGAACUCCAUGUGUAGCGGUGGAAUGCAUAGAUAUCACGCAGAACUCCGAUUGCGAAGGCAGCAUACCGGCGCCCGACUGACGCUGAGGCACGAAAGCGUGGGGAUCGAACAGGAUUAGAUACCCGUGUAGUC
rnacentral:rRNA from 1 species